GACGGGGGGGGCAAGUGUUCUUCGGAAUGACUGGGUGUAAAGGGCACGUAGGCGGUGAAUCGGGUUGAAAGUGAAAGUCGCCAAAAAGUGGCGGAAUGCUCUCGAAACCAAUUCACUUGAGUGAGACAGAGGAGAGUGGAAUUUCGUGUGUAGGGGUGAAAUCCGUAAAUAUACGAAGGAACGCCAAAAGCGAAGGCAGCUCUCUGGGUCCCUACCGACGCUGGGGUGCGAAAGCAUGGGGAGCGAACAGG
rnacentral:rRNA from 1 species